ACAUCUCAACUCUCACGCUUUGCUGUGAUGAGCUUGGACUUUUGGGGGUUUUGCUGGCCUGCGGUCGGCUCCUCUAAAACAGAUCAGCUUGCCAGUAUUUGGUGGCGUCACGGGUGUGAUAACCAUCUACGCUUGUGGUCGUUUGCCAAGUAACCUUUGGUGACGAAGGUUUGCUGGAGCUUAUAAAUGUCUCUCCUCAGUGAAGACAGCUUUUGACC
rnacentral:misc_RNA from 1 species